AUUGAGACCAAAAUAAACAAUGUGCCACUCUAGACAGCUGUGGACAAAAUAUGCAGUCAGAGUAGCCUAUUUUCUCAAACAGAAAGAGAAUUCCAGGCCAAAAGGACUCAACAGAGACAGCAUUAUGAGGAGCAACCAGUACAUCAAAGCAAAAAGAUGCUAUGAUGUUGUCUGAGGCACCUUAUUAUUUGUUAUCUGUCUUCAGAGGAAAGGCAGCUUGGAGGUUGCUACAGCUACACAGGGAGAAUUUCAGCAGCUCAGUUUCAUACUUGCAACUAAUAAUGAAUAAUAGUUAGAAGACAGCGGAAAGAAUUGGCAUUGCAGAGACACACACCAAGAGACACACACACAGGCAGCUGAAGCGAGUUUGACUGACGUGCACAGGAGAUCAGGCACGUGCACGGAAGGUCGUGCACGCACACACAAACA